rnacentral:rRNA from 1 species
UUAGAGUUUGAUCCUGGCUCAGGACGAGCGCUGGCGGCGUGCCUAAUACAUGCAAGUCGAGCGAGCUGAACCAGCAGAUUCACUUCGGUGAUGACGCUGGGAACGCGAGCGGCGGAUGGGUGAGUAACACGUGGGUAACCUGCCCUAAAGUCUGGGAUACCACUUGGAAACAGGUGCUAAUACCGGAUAACAACAAUAGCUGCAUGGCUAUUGCUUAAAAGGCGGCGAAAGCUGUCGCUAAAGGAUGGACCCGCGGUGCAUUAGCUAGUUGGUAAGGUAAUGGCUUACCAAGGCGACGAUGCAUAGCCGAGUUGAGAGACUGAUCGGCCACAUUGGGACUGAGACACGGCCCAAACUCCUACGGGAGGCAGCAGUAGGGAAUCUUCCACAAUGGGCGAAAGCCUGAUGGAGCAACGCCGCGUGAGUGAAGAAGGUUUUCGGAUCGUAAAGCUCUGUUGUUGGUGAAGAAGGAUAGAGGUAGUAACUGGCCCCUAUUUGACGGUAAUCAACCAGAAAGUCACGGCUAACUACGUGCCAGCAGCCGCGGUAAUACGUAGGUGGCAAGCGUUGUCCGGAUUUAUUGGGCGUAAAGCGAGCGCAGGCGGAAAGAUAAGUCUGAUGUGAAAGCCCCCGGCUUAACCGAGGAAUUGCAUCGGAAACUGUGUUUCUUGAGUGCAGAAGAGGAGAGUGGAACUCCAUGUGUAGCGGUGGAAUGCGUAGAUAUAUGGAAGAACACCAGUGGCGAAGGCGGCUCUCUGGUCUGUAACUGACGCUGAGGCUCGAAAGCAUGGGUAGCGAACAGGAUUUAGAUACCCUGGUAGUCCAUGCCGUAAACGAUGGAGUGCUAAGGGUUGGGAGGUUUCCACCUCUCAGUGAUGCAGCUAACGCAUUAAGCACUCCGCCUGGGGAGUGCGACCGCAAGGUUGAAACUCAAAGGAAUUGACGGGGGCCCGCACAAGCGGUGGAGCAUGUGGUUUAAUUCGAAGCAACGCGAAGAACCUUACCAGGUCUUGACAUCUAGUGCCAUCCUAAGAGAUUAGGAGUUCCCUUCGGGGACACUAAGACAGGUGGUGCAUGGCUGUCGUCAGCUCGUGUCGUGAGAUGUUGGGUUAAGUCCCGCAACGAGCGCAACCCUUGUUAUUAGUUGCCAGCAUUAAGUUGGGCACUCUAAUGAGACUGCCGGUGACAAACCGGAGGAAGGUGGGGAUGACGUCAAGUCAUCAUGCCCCUUAUGACCUGGGCUACACACGUGCUACAAUGGCGUAAACAAAGGGAAGCAAGCAUGUGAGUGUAAGCAAAUCUCAAAAAUAACGUCUCAGUUCGGAUUGUAGUCUGCAACUCGACUACAUGAAGCUGGAAUCGCUAGUAAUCGCGAAUCAGAAUGUCGCGGUGAAUACGUUCCCGGGUCUUGCACACACCGCCCGUCA